GAAACGACUGCUAAGACUGGAUAGGAGAUAAGAAGGCAUCUUCUUAUUUUUAAAAGACCUAGCAAUAGGUAUGCUUAGGGAAGAGCUUGCGUCACAUUAGUUAGUUGGUGGGGUAAUGGCCUACCAAGACGAUGAUGUGUAGCCGGGCUGAGAGGUCGAACGGCCACAUUGGGACUGAGACACGGCCCAAACUCCUAUGGGAGGCAGCAGUAAGGAAUUUUCGGCAAUGGAGGAAACUCUGACCGAGCAAUGCCGCGUGAACGAUGAAGUAUUUCGGUACGUAAAGUUCUUUUAUUAGGGAAGAAAAGAUGGUGGAAAAACCAUUAUGACGGUACCUAAUGAAUAAGCCCCGGCUAACUAUGUGCCAGCAGCCGCGGUAAUACAUAGGGGGCAAGCGUUAUCCGGAAUUAUUGGGCGUAAAGGGUGCGUAGGCGGUUAAAUAAGUUUAUGGUCUAAGUGCAACGCUCAACGUUGUGAUGCUAUAAAAACUGUUUAGCUAGAGUUGGAUAGAGGCAAGUGGAAUUCCGUGUGUAGUGGUAAAAUGCGUAAAUAUACGGAGGAACACCAGAAGCGAAGGCGGCUUGCUGGGUCUUAACUGACGCUGAGGCACGAAAGCGUGGGGAGCAAACAGGAUUAGAUACCCUGGUAGUCCACGCCCUAAACGAUGAGUACUAAACGUUGGAUAAAACCAGUGUUGAAGUUAACACAUUAAGUACUCCGCCUGAGUAGUACGUACGCAAGUAUGAAACUUAAAGGAAUUGACGGGACUCCGCACAAGCGGUGGAUCAUGUUGUUUAAUUCGAAGGUACCCGAAAAACCUCACCAGGUCUCGACAUGCUUUUGCAAAGCUGUAGAAAUACAGUGGAGGUUAUCAGAAGCACAGGUGGUGCAUGGUUGUCGUCAGCUCGUGUCGUGAGAUGUUGGGUUAAGUCCCGCAACGAGCGCAACCCUUGUUGUUAAUUGCCAUCAUUAAGUUGGGGACUUUAGCAAGACUGCCAAUGAUAAAUUGGAGGAAGGUGGGGACGACGUCAAAUCAUCAUGCCCCUUAUGACCUGGGCUACAAACGUGAUACAAUGGCUGUUACAAAGGGUAGCUAAAGUGUAAGCUUCUGGCGAAUCUCAAAAAAGCAGUCUCAGUUCGGAUUGAAGUCUGCAACUCGACUUCAUGAAGUUGGAAUCGCUAGUAAUCGCGAAUCAGCAUGUCGCGGUGAAUACGUUCACGGGGUUUGUACACACCGCCCGUCA
rnacentral:rRNA from 1 species